UGGGGAAUAUUGGACAAUGGGCGCAAGCCUGAUCCAGCCAUGCCGCGUGUGUGAAGAAGGCCUUUUGGUUGUAAAGCACUUUAAGCGAGGAGGAGGCUACUUGGAUUAAUACUCUAAGAUAGUGGACGUUACUCGCAGAAUAAGCACCGGCUAACUCUGUGCCAGCAGCCGCGGUAAUACAGAGGGUGCGAGCGUUAAUCGGAUUUACUGGGCGUAAAGCGUGCGUAGGCGGCUUCUUAAGUCGGAUGUGAAAUCCCUGAGCUUAACUUAGGAAUUGCAUUCGAUACUGGGAAGCUAGAGUAUGGGAGAGGAUGGUAGAAUUCCAGGUGUAGCGGUGAAAUGCGUAGAGAUCUGGAGGAAUACCGAUUGCGAAGGCAGCCAUCUGGGCUAAUACUGACGCUGAGGUACGAAAGCAUGGGGAGCAAACAGG
rnacentral:rRNA from 1 species